rnacentral:rRNA from 1 species
CCUACGGGGUGCUGCAGUGGGGAAUAUUGGACAAUGGGCGAAAGCCUGAUCCAGCCAUGCCGCGUGUGUGAAGAAGGCCUUCGGGUUGUAAAGCACUUUCAGUGGGGAAGAAAGCCUUGGGGCUAAUACCCUCGAGGAAGGACAUCACCCACAGAAGAAGCACCGGCUAACUCCGUGCCAGCAGCCGCGGUAAUACGGAGGGUGCGAGCGUUAAUCGGAAUUACUGGGCGUAAAGCGCGCGUAGGCGGUCUGAUAAGCCGGUUGUGAAAGCCCCGGGCUCAACCUGGGAACGGCAUCCGGAACUGUCAGGCUAGAGUGCAGGAGAGGAAGGUAGAAUUCCCGGUGUAGCGGUGAAAUGCGUAGAGAUCGGGAGGAAUACCAGUGGCGAAGGCGGCCUUCUGGACUGACACUGACGCUGAGGUGCGAAAGCGUGGGUAGCAAACAGGAUUAGAUCCCCCAGUAGUC